CAUGUUACAUAGUUUAGGGCCGUUGGUCAUGGUAGUUGAGGGUUUAUAGUCUCAGCGAGGGAGUCUUGGAUCUUCACCAGUUAUUUGAUACUACCUAUUUAAAAACAUCUUGUGGUUUUUGAUGGAUUUUUCUGAGGUCAAGGUGUAAAAUUAUUUGCACAUUUUCUCUUCCUGAUCAGGUGUUUCUGGGAGUAGUAAACUCAUAGUAACACAGUCAUGCUAGUUUGCUUCAACCAGGGUCUGGUGGGGAGGACAGUGCUCUGAGCAGAAUAAGGAGGCUGAAGUGAGGUCAUGUGUUGAGUGUGGCAGCCGGCAGUUGCAACUGAGGAAACAGAACAGGAUGGCUGGAGUCUGAGUCUCUUGGAGGCCCCGUGUCUCAAUGGACAUUAACCUUUAAUUGCCCUGUUUGGGGUGGGCUGGAGCAGCCGGGCUAAUGCAGUUGGAGGCUUGAGGAGGCAGGUAUUUGCAGCCUGCAGGUGACACGAAGUUGGGCCCCAACAGGGCGUCCUGGCCGGAUGUCUGCUUUGCUGGGGGAAUGUAACUCCAGAAAAUACUCAGAGAUGGUCUUCAGAGAUUUCUGAAUAAGAUCGUUUUCUGAAGUGUUCUGUACAACAGUGAAAAGAAUGAGUGUCGAGUAUUAAUAAUUGUGUUGUGAACAAAUAGUUUACUGACAUGGGAAGCUACCCAAAUAAUUACGUUCAGAAAACAAAUUAAUAUAGUAUCAUGGUUCCAGUGGAAGGACUGAUGUUGAAGCUGAGGCUCCAAUACUUUGGCCACCUGAUUCGAAGAGCUGACUCAUUAGAAAAGACCCUGAUGCUGGGAAAAAUUGAGGGCAGGAGGAGAAGGGGAUGACGGAGAAUGAGAUUGUUG
ensembl:lncRNA